rnacentral:rRNA from 1 species
UGGGGAAUUUGGACAAUGGGCGAAGCUGAUCCAGCAAUGCCGCGUGUGUGAAGAAGGCCUUCGGGUUGUAAAGCACUUUUGUCCGGAAAGAAAUCCUUGGCUCUAAUACAGUCGGGGGAUGACGGUACCGGAAGAAUAAGCACCGGCUAACUACGUGCCAGCAGCCGCGGUAAUACGUAGGGUGCAAGCGUUAAUCGGAAUUACUGGGCGUAAAGCGUGCGCAGGCGGUUUGCUAAGACCGAUGUGAAAUCCCCGGGCUCAACCUGGGAACUGCAUUGGUGACUGGCAGGCUAGAGUAUGGCAGAGGGGGGUAGAAUUCCACGUGUAGCAGUGAAAUGCGUAGAGAUGUGGAGGAAUACCGAUGGCGAAGGCAGCCCCCUGGGCCAAAUACUGACGCUCAUGCACGAAAAGCGUGGGGGAGCAAAACAGGAUUAGAUACCCUGGUAGUCCACGCCCUAAAACGAUGUCAACUAGUUGUUGGGGAUUUAUUUCCUUAGUAACGUAGCUAACGCGUGAAGUUGACCGCCU